GCAUAUCAAUAAGCGGAGGAAAAGAAACUAACAAGGAUUCCCCUAGUAGCGGCGAGCGAAGCGGGAAGAGCUCAAAUUUGUAAUCUGGCACCUUCGGUGUCCGAGUUGUAAUCUCUAGAAGUGUUUUCCGCGUUGGACCGCACACAAGUCUGUUGGAAUACAGCGGCAUAGUGGUGAUACCCCAUUACACGGUGCGGACGCCCAGCGCUUUGUGAUACACUUUCGACGAGUCGAGUUGUUUGGGAAUGCAGCUCAAAUUGGGUGGUAAAUUCCAUCUAAAGCUAAAUAUUGGCGAGAGACCGAUAGCGAACAAGUACCGUGAGGGAAAGAUGAAAAGCACUUUGGAAAGAGAGUUAAAAGUACGUGAAAUUGUUGGAAGGGAAACGCUUGAAGUCAGACUUGCUUGCCGGGCUUGCUCGGUUUGCAGGCCAGCAUCAGUUUUCUGGGACGGAUAAUGGCAGUUAGAAUGUAGCAGUCUCGGCUGUGUUAUAGCUUUCUGCUGGAUACGUCCUGGGGGACUGAGGAACGCAGCGUGCCGUAUGGCGAGGGCUUUGGUCCUUUCACGCUUAGGAUGCUGGUGGAAUGGCUUUAAACGACCCGUCUUGAAACACGGACCAAGGAGUCUAACAUGCUUGCGAGUAUUUGGGUGUCAAACCCGGAUGCGUAAUGAAAGUGAAUGGAGGUGGGAAGCGCAAGCUGCACCAUCGACCGAUCUGGAUUUUCUAAGAUGGAUUUGAGUAAGAGCACGUAUGUUGGGACCCGAAAGAUGGUGAACUAUGCCUGAAUAGGGCGAAGCCAGAGGAAACUCUGGUGGAGGCUCGUAGCGGUUCUGACGUGCAAAUCGAUCGUCAAAUUUGGGUAUAGGGGCGAAAGACUAAUCGAACCAUCUAGUAGCUGGUUCCUGCCGAAGU
rnacentral:rRNA from 1 species